GAUGAAGAACGCAGCGAAAUGCGAUAAGUAAUGUGAAUUGCAGAAUUCAGUGAAUCAUCGAAUCUUUGAACGCACAUUGCGCCCUCUGGUAUUCCGGGGGGCAUGCCUGUUCGAGCGUCAUUAUAACCACUCAAGCUCUCGCUUGGUAUUGGGGCUCGCGGUUCCGCGGCCCCUAAAAUCAGUGGCGGUGCCUGUCGGCUCUACGCGUAGUAAUACUCCUCGCGAUUGAGUCCGGUAGGUCUACUUGCCAGCAACCCCCAAUUUUUACAGGUUGACCUCGGAUCAGGUAGGGAUACCCGCUGAACUUAAGCAUAUCAAUAAGCAGAGGA
rnacentral:misc_RNA from 1 species